ensembl:lncRNA
AUGUAUAGUAUACCUCAGUGCCGCGCGCUAUUUCGCUCAGAUUUCAUUUCCUUCAGGAAAGCGAAUCAUCUGUGCCCUAAGGAAUCAUCUCGCGUUCUCAGCGGUUUUUCUUCGAGCAGUGUUCAACUCCUCUUUGUGGACGCGAUGAGUUUUCGGAAGUGUAAGGAACUGUGUACGUUCAUCACGAAGGGAGACAGUCAUGAAAGGUGCGUAGUGUGCUUGGGCUUACAUCACACACAGGCAGCACUUAGUGGCCUUUCUUCUUGCCCCCAUUGUGAUAGCCUGCGGCUUAAAGUACUGCGCUCGAGGGCAGAAGUAUUUUCUAAGGUCGCCCCCGCGUCCAACCCCCGCCGUGUCACUUCUGCGGCUACCGAGGCACCGCACGAGGCGAUGGCUUGGGGAGACAUGUGCGACAUAGACUACGAGGACAGCGCUGCACUGGAGUUCCCUCCACGUCGCUCGCUCUCCCCGACCCGAGUGCAGGAAAUGAACUUUGUGGAACCCGUCGUUUUUUCAAAUGAGUGUUUACAGCCCACCCCGGAGGCAUACGAUGCUAUUUCCUUCGGUUGUGGACAGUAUGACGACGACAUCUUAUCCACCGCGGCCUCGGAGUCUGAGGACUUCAUGGCUGAUGCUUGCACUUCGGUGGUGGAUAAUUUUAGGGCAGCGAAACAGCAAUCAGCUGCCUUCCGCCAGCUGAUUCCUCGCAGGCCCAGGGAGACUGAAUGGCGUCAGGCGCUGGCGCGGUCUCGCUCGACCUCCUCUAACCACCAACGGGUCGCCUCACGAGAAGAGCCUUCACCUAUGGCGCCCCCUCAUAAAGAUUGGGGUCCUAAGGUUUUUCCACCGGCUCGCCAGCGACAGCGGAAAAGGUUAGACCUGAGCUCGACGGCUAAUGCCUCUCGUCCUCGGGCCCUUACAGCAGCUCCUGAUACUCUUGCUGUUCGCCAGGGACUGUGCCCUCCACUAGAGAGCGCUGUUGGACCAUUUCGGCGCAUCCAACCCUCUCUCUGCAGUCCCCACACUCAAACAUUGACUGUCUCUCCACAAAGGGCGCUUCGAGCAGCAUUGGAUCAAGCUACCAUGUCAAGCAUUCCCUCAGACACUCUGCGCAAUUCAGCCUUCAGAAUUCGAGGGACGGUUCAAGGGUCUGGCAAAGAUGGCCUGUUUAUGACAGCUCACACAAUUCCUGCCAUGGACACGCUUCAGGAUUAUACACAACGAAUCGCAAUGACUUUGACGCAUGCGCUUCCCCUGCUUACGGACGCCGCGAGCCUUUCGUGCCAGGACAUUUUAACGUGUAUGGAAACGUUGCAGAAGGCGGAGACCUUGAAACCACUGACGUUAUUUCGGGCCGCGUGGGAAUGCUUGCCCGGCAUUUCACAAUGGGUGUUAUGCACAAUUCGUCACGGAAACACCAUUCAGUUUCGAAAAGGCCCGCCUCCUUUCCGCGGAAUUCUUCCCACGGUUGUGAAGCCAAAGGAAAUCGUGGUGCUGCGGCAAGAGAUGUCAGCUCUGCUGAGCAAAGGGACUAUAGAAAAGGUACCUCUCAGAUGGAGUCAGGUUUUUACAGCCGCUAUUUUGUUGUACCAAAAAAAGGGGGCGGUUUGCGACCCAUAUUGGAUUUUCGCUGUUUGA